rnacentral:rRNA from 1 species
GACGAACGCUGGCGGCGCGCUUAACACAUGCAAGUCGAACGAAGAGCGACGGACUCUUGCUUCUACUAAUCUUAGUGACGGACGGGUGAGUAACGCGUAAUCAACCUUCCCCUCAGGGGGGGACAACAGUAGGAAACGACUGCUAAUACCGCAUACGAUCUAAUCAUGGCAUCGAGGAUGGAUGUAAGGUUGCCGCUACAUGUAAGCUACCACCGGAGGAGGGGAUUGCGGCUGAUCAGCUAGUUGGAGGGGUAACGGCCUACCAAGGCGAUGGUCAGUAGCCGGGCUGAGAGGAUGAACGGCCACAGUGAGGCUGUGACACGGCCCAGGGUCCUACGGGAGGCAGCGGUGGGGACGCGUCCGAGAUGGAGGGAAGACUGACGGAGCAGCGCCGCGUGGAUGAUGACGGCCUUCGGGUUGUAAAGCUCUGUUAAUCGGGAAGAAAGGCCUUGUUGCGAAUAGUGAGAAGGAGUGACGGUACCGGAAGAGGAAGCCACGGCUAACUACGUG